GAGAAGACGAAGGCCACGAUGUUGAUGGGGUACGCGGGGCAGAAGCAGGAGAAGAUGCUGAGGACCAGGUAAAUAUUGCAUCUUUCAAGCUCUAUCCUAGGAUCCUGGAAUAAAACACGUGUAGAAGGAAAACCUGCUGAUCUAUCAAAAUGUCAGAAGAAAUGAUUUCAGAUUGUUAGGAAAUGAUCAAAGACAAAGACACAAACCUUUCUGAAUACCCUGACCUUCCCUGGAACCAUCUCCACCUAGGCUAGAAGAAGGGUUGUGAAUGGAGGAGGUCUCACACAGGUGAUCAGUCGACCUGGUCAGACUCACGUCCUGAUGGAGUUGGAGCUGACUUUUAUAAAUCUUUGAAAGACACAUUUUCUCAGACCUCUUCCAAUGUUCCAAUGUCAUUAGGGAUUCUUUCUGUGACAACUGGAGACAUUCCCAACAUUGGAGGAAAAAAAUCCCAAAAGACAGACCUAGAAGACUGCAAAUCAUGUAAUCCAAUUUCAUUAUUAAGCCCUAGAUAACAAGAUUAGAGUUAAAAUAUUUACAUGCUACUUAAUUCCUGUUCUACCGCGGAUUAUUCACAGGCUUUGUUUUAGGAAAAUCAGCUAACAGUAGCAUUAGUUAACCCGUCAGUGUUGCCAAGAGUUCAGUGCCUGGAGGCUUUCGCCUUGUAUUUGAUGUGAGAAAAGUGUUGGGCAUUUUUUUUUUAUUUGUUUGCUAGAGAAAUUAAAUUUUGGAUCAUUUCUUCAAUUAAACUUUUCUGUAAUGCCUUAAAUGCAGAUACCAGUAUCAGAUACUAAGGAUACUUAUAUAGCUCCCAUUAUCAUAG